rnacentral:tRNA from 2 species
AGUAGUUCAGUUGGUAGAGCGACGGUCUCCAAAACCGUAUGUCGAGGGUUCGAGUCCUUCCUG